AUGUCACAUGCUCUCUCUUAUUGCCUCCUCAGUGAAUUAAAAAAAAACCCUAUACCAUCUCAUGAGACUGAUCACAUCAUGAGAUCCCGCUGCCUUUUCCUACUGAUUUACCUUCUGGGAAACUCGUUUGGAGGAUCAAGCGCUCAGAGAAAUACAUCAUGCACGACGAACGAAGCAUGUGGUCAGAUGGCAGAGCCGACACACAGUUUCCUACAGUGUGUUGGACUGCCUUCGACAGACACAGGAACAGACCAUUUGCGGAGGUUGAAAGAAAUUCUUGAAGCAACAAUGGACAUCUACACCUUCAUGCGAUCCAGCUUAAAUGGUGUGCCACUAAUGAGCCUCCAAGGAGAGCUGCUGUUAAACCCAACAGUGGACCCUCUCCGGAACGAGGCCCUCGUCCAAAUGUGGAUGGAGGUCAAAAUGAAGCCACUAUUGAAAUCUGUAACAAAAAACUUUCUCUCCUGCCUCAGCACCAAAAAUUUUAGCUGCUCCACCUACCAGACAAUGGUGAAGGAACUCAGCCACCAUUAUUCAGAAAUGAGUCCAGUCAGACAAAAGUGGAUCUACACAUUCUUUAUGUACCCUUUCCUUUCUGGAGACAGGGUUUCCGGUUGUAUGAACUCAAGUGAGAGCAGCGAGGAGUGGCUAUUAAAGAAUUUUGGUGCCUUUAGGGUCUUGGCACGAAUGACAGAUUUUUCAACCCUCAACAUGGUCUUUAGCAGGUUGGAGGUUCUUCACUUAUUGUCUGCAGCGCAAAAGGCAGAGCUGCUAAUAACGCCUGGGGUCCAACUUUUAGACAACACUACAAUAGAAGUGCUCUUCCAUAGCAUAGUGACAGGAAGUCCUGGUCAUCCUCCAACAAGCCCUACUUGGAGCAACAACUGGACGAGUCCUGGACACCCAACAAGUUUUCCCACCUUUUCUCCACAUCCCACAUAUGACGCAUACCGGCCGUCUCUUCAGAACAGCGUUGUAAAUGGAUUCAUGACAGCGCUCAAACCCAUCAGCAGCUUUGUUCAUGAUUUCAUAUCCCUGACAAAAGUCAGAGGUGUUUCUGAAAUGAAGAGCACCACUUUGACACAGUUCCUGCUCAACUGGACUCUGGCUGAACUGGCAGACUCAUACAGACCCAGAAACACAGCUUUAGUCCCUGAGAUGCCCGAGUUUGAUGUGACGAACAUGGAGGACUGGUACCAACACGUGGUGAUGCCUGUAUUGAAGAGGUUCUUGCCACAUAAAGACCCAAUGCAUCCGAACAUCACUUUUGCUUUCCAACAGCUUUUCUUUUUGGAUCAAGACAAUGAAACCACUGUAAUCCUGGAUGUCUGCAGCCUCACUCUUGAUGGAAACCCUUGUGGGCUGACUGAUGUAGUGGAAAAUGUAGCCCAUGUUUUGCGCUGCGCUGCUCAAACCGACCUAAAGUUGACAGAACAGACGCUCAUGAGGCUGGUUAUAGAGCUGACCAAACGCCUGAACGUACUGAUCAGAGAGUUGUCCAAAAUGGACCUCAAAGAGGUGGCUGACGAGCUGCAGCAGAUCUUUACUCAGGCUGAACCUCCGUCUCUGACAACGGAACACCUGGAGGACCCUGACUUCAUCCUCAAAUGGUUUGAGGUCAAGCUGAUGCCCCUCCUGCCUGCUGUGCCUCCACAACUCCUCUCCUGCCUUAGCACCAAGAACUUCUCCUGCCCUGUUUACCAAACUAUUGUGAGAGCACUCAGCACUCAUAUGGGCAAGGCAAAAGAUAAUCCAGUAUACAGUCAAAUAAUCUUCGAGAACUUCAUCUUCCCUUUCCUACUGCAUCACAACACCUCAGAUCCCCAGUGUGUAGUAGGAAACAACAGUAGACAAUGGCUGGAAGACAACUUUGCUUACUUUUCAAAGUUUGCUUUCAUCACUGACUUUUACAAACUAUAUCCACAAUUCUCUGGGGUUGAGGUCAUCCCAGUCUUGUCCCCAAAACAGCUAGCAGAGCUGAUACUGCUGCCUCUUCCUACACCACCAAAGAAAGAGGAGGUCAUUGAUGCCGUGUUUCAGUAUUUAGUUGGGACUAUGGGACCCAACUAUUUCACUGAGGUCCUCGAGAUCAUGGUGCAACUUGCUAAAGAGGUCCAUCCCACCUGUAACGUCUUCAAACAUAUCUUUACGAGACUAUAUCAUGCUGCACCAAAGGUGCCUCCAGACACAGAACCACUCAUAUGGACUACAAUAGAUGACCUGAUGAGCAUUGCACCUGAAGACUGUCUGCCUGAUAACUUAACGUGUCCAGUGAUCCAAAUCAAUGGCUCUAACAUCUGCCAAAAAGACAAGCAGGUAUCAUAUUUUUAUUUAAUACUAUAUUCAAAAUUGUUCAAAAUAUAA
rnacentral:lncRNA from 1 species